UACGGAGGGUGCAAGCGUUAAUCGGAAUUACUGGGCGUAAAGCGUGCGUAGGCGGUUCGUUAAGUCUGUUGUGAAAGCCCCGGGCUCAACCUGGGAAUGGCAAUGGAUACUGGCGAGCUAGAGUGUGUCAGAGGAUGGUGGAAUUCCCGGUGUAGCGGUGAAAUGCGUAGAGAUCGGGAGGAACAUCAGUGGCGAAGGCGGCCAUCUGGGACAACACUGACGCUGAGGCACGAAAGCGUGGGGAGCAAACGG
rnacentral:rRNA from 1 species